rnacentral:rRNA from 1 species
UGCGCCUUGCCAGCCCGCUCAGAAACUUAAAGGAAUUGACGGGGGCCCGCACAAGCGGUGGAGCAUGUGGUUUAAUUCGAUGAUACGCGAGGAACCUUACCUGGGCUCAAAUGUAUGUUGACGUAUUCUGAAAGGGAUACUUCUUCGGACAAUAUACAAGGUGCUGCAUGGUUGUCGUCAGCUCGUGCCGUGAGGUGUCGGGUUAAGUCCCAUAACGAGCGCAACCCCUACCUUUAGUUGCCAUCAGGUUAAGCUGGGGACUCUAAAGGAACUGCCUACGCAAGUAGUGAGGAAGGCGGGGAUGACGUCAAAUCAGCACGGCCCUUACGUCCAGGGCUACACACGUGCUACAAUGGCCGAUACAGAGGGCAGCUACCUGGUGACAGGAUGCAAAUCUCCAAAGUCGGUCUCAGUUCGGAUCGGAGUCUGCAACCCGACUCCGUGAAGUUGGAUUCGCUAGUAAUCGCGCAUCAGCCAUGGCGCGGUGAAUACGUUCCCGGGCCUU